rnacentral:lncRNA from 1 species
AGCAAUUUUAUUAAAAAGUCUUACUGUAUAAGAUAAAGAAAUGAGCAUCUAGGGUUUAUAUAAGGACAUUCUCACCUAUUUACAUGUGCAAAGUAGCAGCUUGAGGCAACCAGCAGCAAUGUAAGACCAGUAAGAAACCCUAACCACAUCCAUGCACAGGAGAUGUACAGGACUUAAAAACAGUUUCCGGACAAUGCUUCUUCUAGUACAGUAUCCGUACUGCACCACUUUGCUUGUAGAAGGAAUGGAGGAUAGUAGCAUUGGAAAAACAACAUAAAGAGUCUCCAGGUAGGCACAACGAUACUUCAAGUUUAGGAAUACAAGUCGUGUGAAAUUUUGACUAUCCCUUUUGUAGGUGAAACAUAUCUCAUAUGGAGGAGUUAAAUAAUAAUAGCGCGUGCCCGGUUAAAUUGCUCAUGCAUCAAAAUUGACAUUAUAGGAAAUGUGGACCUUGUUCAAUUACAUAAGAUAUCAAACUGCUUGAAAUAAAUUGGGCAAAAGCCAUAAUCGGAAAUUAAAACCUGCAAACAAGGAGGUCCAAAUACCAAAACGAAAUUCCAUUGGUUUCAGAUCUUUAUCAGUCAAGACUAAUGAAAUCAUUAAUCAUGUUUUCCUAGUACCUGAUACGACUUCAGGGGGGUAUUGAAGAAGAUUGGCAGAUGCACCGAAGAUCUCUGCAUCUUAUUAAUGAUUGUCUGACAUUUCAAAACCCCUCCUGCAAAAUGAGAUAUAAAACCAUUGGCCUAACAGCAAAAUCAGCCACAAAAUCAGAUAAUAAGACAGCACUAACUGCUUCUCCAUUUGUUGCCACAGAUAUUUGUAAAAAGAUGACCAAGGAGAGCUAUCUACCAAGAAGAAUAUUCACCUGUAUCUGUAAGCCCUGGAUAAUUCAUCUGGUGAGACAAUAAGCAAUUACUCCACAUCAUCCUGCUAUCCCCGAAUGCAUUCCUGUUCAAACCAAAUGCACCUAAACAGGUUUCCGCAUGAAGAAACCUAACUCACAAAAUAAUUACUGGGUUCUAGCAAUAGAAAAAUUACAUUUUCACAUGAGCCUUCCUGCUGUUUGUAGCUGUAGCAAAUUAACAACAGAGGAAGAAGAAGACCACGAGGAUGAUGAUGAUGAUGAUUGUGAUGUAAAGUUAAGAUAAAAUGAUGCAGAUUCUGAAAGUCAGACUGA